rnacentral:rRNA from 1 species
UAUGUGAUCGUCUCUCGCAUAUCAAUAAGCGGAGGAAAAGAAACUAACAAGGAUUCCCCUAGUAACGGCGAGUGAAGCGGGAAGAGCUCAAAUUUGAAAUCUUAAAGGGUUUCCCUUUACGAAUUGUAGUUUAAAGAAGUGUUUUCUGUUGAGGGUUUUGGUAAAAGUUCUUUGGAAUAGGACAUCAUAGAGGGUGAGAAUCCCGUAUUUGACCUUUACUUUCAACUUUGUGAUACACUUUCAAAGAGUCGGAUUGUUUGGGAAUGCAGUCCAAAAUGGGUGGUAAAUUUCAUCUAAAGCUAAAUAUUGGCGAGAGACCGAUAGCGAACAAGUACCGUGAGGGAAAGAUGAAAAGAACUUUGAAAAGAGAGUUAAACAGUACGUGAAAUUGCAAAAGGGAAGCGUUUGACACCAGUGUUGUUUUUCUGAAAAUCAAUUAAAGAACUGUUUAUGCUAAGCUGUUUAGACUUUAUCAGCUAUCUGUUUAGUUUUGAGCUUUUCUUUAAUGCACUUUUCAGUUAACAAGUCAACAUCAAUUUCUUUUGCUGUAAAAAAGCUUGAGGAAGGUGGCUUGAGAUUCGUCUUAAGUGUUUAUAGCCUCUUGCCUAUGCAGUCGGAGAGAUUGAGGUCUGCAGCGUAGAUCCUUCGGGGCUAAAUGCAUUUGUGCUAAGUUAUAGCAUUUUAUAGACAACUUGUUGUCUAUGAUUUGUCUUGUAGCUUACUCGCUUAUGUUAUUUUACCUACGCUUAGGAUGUUGAGUCGUAGAGCACGCAG